rnacentral:rRNA from 1 species
UACGAAGGGGGCUAGCGUUGCUCGGAAUUACUGGGCGUAAAGCGCCCGUAGGCGGCUUUCUAAGUCAGGGGUGAAAUCCUGGAGCUCAACUCCAGAACUGCCUUUGAUACUGGAGAGCUUGAGUCCGGAAGAGGUGAGUGGAACUCCGAGUGUAGAGGUGAAAUUCGUAGAUAUUCGGAAGAACACCAGUGGCGAAGGCGGCUCACUGGUCCGGUACUGACGCUGAGGUGCGAAAGCGUGGGGAGCAAACAGG